AUAACAAUCUAAAACAUGUAUGUGUACCUGUAAAAUAAAAAUAUAAAACGCUUUUACCGGUUUCAAAUAAUACUAGCAAAUAAAGAUAAGUAUCCAUCUCAAGAUGGAUCAAUAAAAAAUCUCAUUCUUGAAAACGGGGAGCCUGGUGAAUCUUUAGCGAACGCCGUACUGAAGUCAAAAUAUUUUGUGGAUAAUGAAGUUGAAGAGACAUUAAAGAAAAAUAACUUGGUUGCGGUUUUGACAAAAUUAGAACAAACGUUUGAUAUUUAUUUCGAUUUAAAACUCAACAGUUUUUCAGAUGGAUUUAGAAAUGUCAUUCAUUUGACUAUAGGAGAAGAUAAUUCGAAAUACGGUGAUCGAAUUCCUGGCAUUUGGGUUUCUAAUCAAAAGUUACUCGUUGGUUUUGCAAUAAACAAUAAUAAAAAUGAAUAUUUUGAAUCCAAGCCACUUCAACGAGGCCAGUGGAUAAAUAUUCAUAUACAUCAACACGCUGAAUCGGGAAGAGCUUCUUAUACUUUAUAUAUCAAUAACGAAAAUGUAUAUACUGUACAAAACUUCAACCCGCAAGUAUUGACAAAUGUCAAAGAUUACGCUGGAGAUCCGUGGUACGAAGUUUAGGAUGGAUCCAUUAGACAUUUUAAUGUCAUUAAUGGAAUUUUAAUGUCAUUAAUGGAAUUUUAAUGUCAUUAAUGGAAAUUUAGAUUUUGCAGGUAAUGAAGUUGAAGAGACACUAAAAAAAAAUAACUUGGUUGCAAUUUUGUCAAAAUUAGAACAAUCAUUUGAUAUUUAUUUCGAUUUAAAACUUAACAGUUUUUCAGAUGGAUUUAGAAGUGUCAUUCAUUUGACUAUAGGAGAGGAUAAUUCGAAAUACGGUGAUCGAAUUCCUGGCAUUUGGGUUUCUAAUCAAAAGUUACUCGUUGGUUUUGCAAUAAACAAUAAUAAAAAUGAAUAUUUUGAA